rnacentral:lncRNA from 1 species
UGGAUACAGUGAGCCUGUGCUGAAUGCAGUGCGCCUGCAGUGCGACUUCACCUUUAUGCAGUGUCCCUGCAGUUGUUGCAGUGCCCACUGCAUUGUCCAAGAACGUGGAUGCAGUGCCCAGGCUUUGGAUGCAGUUUGCCACAAGGUGCAAGCAAUAUGUUGUGACGGAGGAUGCAGUGCCCAUGAGGGUGGAUGCAGUGAUCCAGCAGUGGUUACAGUGCACCCUGCUGUGUCCCUGAAUGUGCAUGCUCUGAACAUGCAGUGGAUGCAGUGAUCCUGCAGUGAUUGCAGUGCACCUGUAUUUCCACAUGAGCUGGAAGCAGUGUCCCUGCAGGGGCUGCAUUUGUGUCUUGUGUGUCCCUGAAGGUGAAUGCAGUGCCCAUACGGUGGAUGCAGUGUACCUAAACGUUUAUGCAGUAUGUUGUGACAGAGGAUGCAGUGCCCAUGAAGGGGGAUGCAGUGUCCCUCCAGUGGUUGCAGUGCCUCUGGCAUUGUCCUGAAAUGUUGAGGCAGUGCCUAUGCAGUGGAUGCAGAGAAUCUUCAAUGAUUGCAGGGCACUUGCAGUGAUACUUCAGCUGGAUGCAGUGUAGCUGCAGUGGUUGCAGAGCCCCCAGCCAUGUCCCUGAAUGUGGAUGCUGUGCCCACACAGUGUGUGCAGAGUGACUCAACGUGAAUGCAGUAUGUUGUAAAGAAGGAUUCAGUGCCCAUGAAGGAUGAUGCAGUGAUCCUGCAGUCAUUGCAGUGCACCUGCAGUGCCACUUCAUCUGGAUGCAGUGUCCCUGCAGUAGUUGCAGUCCACCCUGCUGUGUCCCUGAAUGUGUUUGCUGUGAACAUGCAGUGGAUGCAGUGAUACUCCAGUGAUUGCAGUGCCACUUCAGCUGCAUGCAGUGUUGCUGCAGUGGUUGCAGAGCCCACUGCAUUGUCCCUGAGCUUGGAUGCACUGCCCAUGCAGUGGAUGCAGUGUCCCACAAUGUGCAUGCAGUAUGUUGUUAUGGAGGAUGCAGUGCCCAUGAAGGGGGAUGCAGUGAUCCUGCCGUGGUUGCAGGGCCGCCUGCAGUUUACCUCAAUGUGGAUGCAGUGCUCAUGCAGUGGAUGGAGAGUCCCACAAGGUGGAUGCCUUAUGUUGUGAUGGAGGAUUCAGUGAAAAUAAAGGAAGAUGCAGUGAUCCUGCAGUCAUUACAGUGCACCUGCAGUGCCACUUCAACUGGCUGCAGUGUCCCUGCAGUGGUUCCAGUGCCCCGAUCUGUGUCCCUGAAUGUGCAUGCCGUGCCCAUGCAGUGGAUGCACAGUACCAAAGGUUGGUUGCCGUAUGUUGUGACAGUGCACGCAGUGCUCACGUGUUGGAUGCAAUGAGCUGGCAGUGAUUGCAGUACGUCUUCACUGCCACUUCAGCUGGCUCCAGUGUCCCUGCAGUGGUUCCAGUGCCCUGAUCUGUGUCCCUGAAUGUGGAUGCCGUGCCCAUGCCAUGGAUGCAGAGUACCAAAGGUUGGUUGCUGUAUGUUGUAACAGUGCAUGCAGUGCUCACGUAUUAGAUGCAGUGAGCUGGCAGUGAUUGCAGUACGCCUUCACUGCCACUUCAGCUGGAUGCAGUGUCAUUGCAGUGGUUGCAGUGCCCCCUGCAUUGUCCUGGCUUGUGGAUGCAGUGCUCAUGCAGAUUAUGCAGUGUCACACAAAGUGGAGGCAUUGUGGUGUAUUGUAGUAUGUAGUGCUGAUGAAUGUGAUUGCAGUGAUCCUGCAGUGAUGGCAGUGCGCCUGCAGUGCCACUUCAGCUGGAUGCAGAGCUGCUGCACUGGUUGCAGUGCCCUUGUAUUGUCUGGUAAUGUGGAUAUUGAGCCCAGGCAGUGGAUGCAGUGUCCCAUUGGGUGGAUGCAGUAUCUUAUGAUGGAUGAUGCAGUUCUCAUGAAGGUGGAUGCAGUGUCCCUGCAGUGCUUGCAUUGACCCUGCAUUGUCCGGGAAGGUGGAUGCCGUAGUCAUGCAGUGGAUGCAGUGUCCCACAAGGUGGAUGCAGUAUGUUGUGAGGGAGGAUGCAAGGCCCCUGAUGGUGGAUGCAGUGAUGCUGCAGUGGUGGCAGUGCCCCCUACAGUUCCCUGAAUGUGGAUGCAGUGCCCAUGUGGUAGUUGCAGUGUCCCACAAGGUGGAUGUCUUAUGUUGUGA